rnacentral:lncRNA from 1 species
UGCUAGGGCGGCUGCUGCAGGGUGGGAGAGGAAAUGCGCGUGGAGACUGGGCGCGUGCAAUGGUGGGAGAGGUGUGUGGCAGGGGUGCGGGGAGUGGGGGUGAAGAGAAGAGGACCCAUCGUAGAGUGUUUAGGAGAUGGAAGGUGAAGGUCUCUGCCCCCGAUUGUGGAUGUUCAGAAGGAGAAAGCAUCAUGACUCCCAGCCUUGGCCACCUGGCAGCUUACCUGAGAUGGAGAAGAGAUAGGAAAGGGAGAUGCCAUGUGCUGGCCCAGCACUCCAACAGGGGCCUGACCUCUAGGAACGGGACACUGGAGGAAGCCUAGACAUCUGAACAAAUCAAGUCAUCCAGAUCCACGGUCAGCUCCUGCCCCGACUUGGCCUUCCUCCUGCUGGGCUGGCCCACGGACCUCGGGAACCUGCCCUGGCUGUGGGUGACCUGCAGCCUAUCUCCCAGGACUAUGGAAGCCCCAUGCAGGAACAUGGUUCUGACACUUUGGGGAUUAUACCCUAAGCUUAAAGGACUGGAAAAGCCCCUGAAGUCCCGAGACCACAACCCUCCACCUUCUAAAGAUAAGACAAGUCACUGAAGGUAAAAUCAGCUCCUCAGUGUCUCCAAGGACAGGAAUGCCAUGGGCUGGGAGGCGCCAUGGGUGAACAGACUUCCCUACUUCCUGCCUCCCCAAGGGUGGGGAGCAGUCUAGGGGAUGGCUGUACUCCUGGGCCCAGUGUCUAAGUGAAAAUUAGGAGGAAAUGGAGGGAGGGUGGCGAGCGAGGACAGACUGGCCAAGGUCCCCCGCAGCCACUCCUGAAGUCCUCACGAGGGAGAAGCAGCCUCUCCUUCCAGCCUUCCCCAAGUCCUCCCUAAGAGUGUAUUCUACUGGUUUCUGUGCAGAUUUUUUUCGGCUGCGACCAAUAGUAGCUUAAACAUGGAUUAUUUUCUUUUUAAUUUCUUCCUGCAAAAUUCUUAGGAAACCAUUAAUAAAAGUAAUAUACAUGUGAAAUAA